CCUACGGGUGGCAGCAGUGGGGGAUAUUGCACAAUGGGGGGAACCCUGAUGCAGCGACGCCGCGUGGGUGAAGGAGUGCUUCGGCAUGUAAAGCCCUAUCGGCAGGGAAGAAGCAAGACGGUACCUGACUAAGAAGCCCCGGCUAACUACGUGCCAGCAGCCGCGGUAAUACGUCGGGGGCGAGCGUUAUCCGGAUUCACUGGGUGUAAAGGGAGCGUAGACGGCCAUGCAAGCCAGGGGUGAAAGCCCGGGGCCCAACCCCGGGACUGCCCUUGGAACGGCAUGGCUAGAGUGCGGGAGGGGCAGGCGGAAUUCCGGGUGUAGCGGUGAAAUGCGUAGAUAUCAGGAGGAACACCGGCGGCGAAGGCGGCCUGCUGGACCGCGACUGACGUUGAGGCUCGAAAGCGUGGGGAGCGAACAGGAUUAGAUACCCUAGUAGUC
rnacentral:rRNA from 1 species